rnacentral:rRNA from 1 species
CCAGACUCCUACGGGAGGCAGCAGUCGGGAAUAUUGCGCAAUGGAGGAAACUCUGACGCAGUGACGCCGCGUGCAGGAAGAAGGUUUUCGGAUUGUAAACUGCUUUAGACAGGGAAGAAAAAAGACAGUACCUGUAGAAUAAGCUCCGGCUAACUACGUGCCAGCAGCCGCGGUAAUACGUAGGGAGCAAGCGUUAUCCGGAUUUAUUGGGUGUAAAGGGUGCGUAGACGGGAAAACAAGUUAGUUGUGAAAUCCCUCAGCUUAACUGAGGAACUGCAACUAAAACUAUUUUUCUUGAGUGCUGGAGAGGAAAGUGGAAUUCCUAGUGUAGCGGUGAAAUGCGUAGAUAUUAGGAGGAACACCAGUGGCGAAGGCGGUCUGCCGGACAGCAACUGACGGUGAGGCGCGAAAGCGUGGGGAGCAAACAGGAUUAGAUACCCGAGUAGA